UGAGCUGAUACAGUUUCCAGGUCUGUGUAAUAGAAAAAAUACUCUCUGGAUAUUUUCCUUUUGAACAUUUUUCUAUAUUAAGCUUCCAUAGGCUGCAACAUAUUUGCCCACUCACGUUAUUUAGUUGAGAAGUUUUGAAAUAGAACGAAAUUUGCAUAGAUAUUUCCUCAGCAGCACUUUGAAGUGCUAUGUCUGGGAUCACUGGUGAAAUCCCUGGAAGUCUGCACACUGCCAACACAAAUAGCAGCUAUAUUUAAGGACGGAGGAUUAUCCACUCCUUCACAGGGCCAUGCUACAUACCAGGCUCUGCUGUCAGUCCCUAGCAGCCAUUCUGUUUGAAGCUCAGACCAGCACAAAUAAUACAGAUGGACUUUUCUCCCGGAGAAAAAAAGCUUCAAAAGGACCUUCAGAAGGACCUGCAAUGACUGGGGAAAACCUGUGAUGGCAUUUUGUCAUCUUUCAGCCUACGUGAGCAUCCCCCUGCGCAGCUGUGUGCAAUGUGAAACCAGAAGGAUGCUGUGUUCCCACCUGCAAUUCCCCGGAGAGUAAUGCUUCUCUGUAAUAAAGCUCAGCUGCUCUGGGUCAGCAGAACUUCAGUGGGAUCUGUUUUUGAAGCCAGAAGACCCGUGCUGUGGUUCCAGCUCGCAAACAUUAAAGAUUGCACUCACAUAAACCUUUGCUUUCUGUGGCAGUUUCUCCAAUGGAUGCGGUGCUGAGCAUGCAGAGGGUGAGCGUACGACUUGUAUGUAAAUCACAAAAUCUUUUACAGUGCACAACAAAACCGGCUCAGAAGCAUGGAAGCUUUUGCAUUGGCCUCAGAAGGGUACAGCACACGUGUAAGGCUGAGGCACAGACGCCUCGUUUAAUUAUGCGAUGGUUAAGAUCCAGAACAAGACCUGUAAGUGCCAACGUACUGCCAUUACAGCUGCAAAACCGUAGCAACGAAGAAGCAAGCAAUCCCUCUGCCUCCAUCUUAGAGAGAGAAGCAUGCUGAUGUCCUGCUGUGAAGCCUAUGGCAACGUGCAGACCCUCUCAGGCUUUCAGUGCCAGAGCUGUGUGUGCUCUCCUGCCUGCAGUGCGCUCGCUGCAAUGUGUGAGAUUGCCACAGCUCUAUUUUUAGCUCGGUGCUCUGUAUGACACCUUUCCCUCCUGUCUCCCUGCACUCAGUGUGGGCACAGGAUGUGGCUGUGCUCCUGCAGUGCUCCCUGGGGUGCACCGAGUCUGCGUGCAUUUCAGAAGAGCCCAAACAUUCACUCCUCGGUGACGCACUCCUGUGUGCCCGGGCCUUACAGGGGGAUGGAGAAACUCAGCCAAGAUGGCGGGAAAAUGCUGCCAGCUGAGAAGCCUUCACUGGGUGUUCGGAGAUACCAAGUGCAUUUAUGGGGGGAAAAGUAACAUUUCCAACCCCGCUGGCAUAGUGGCAGACCUCACCUUUCUGAAGUAAAACCUUUUCAUACUUCUUUGCUUUAGAAUUCACACUUUGCCAGGAACAGAAAUGUUCUUUGAUACGAUACCGCAGACAUCGGUUCAUCCCACCAUUUUGAUCCACGUUUGGGGCUGUUAUCAGAGGACUCUGACUGCAUUCUGGAACAGUCCAUGUACAUUAAGAGAGAUUGGGUACUUCUCUACUCGAAGUCUGCAGUGCAUGGCUGUCCUCAGUAUUCCCCAACACCUCUCUCUGCCGGUGAUGCCCGCUGUCCCAGCACCCCAGGGCCAAAGGCACUUGGUGCCAUGCUGGCGGGCUGUGCGGCUGCCAUCCCAGCACCGGCCCCUCCGCAGCUCUGUGCGUCUGUCCAUCUCCACAAGUGCCUGUCGGUCAGGAGAGCACUUUGAAAUGAAAUGAGGCUUUGUUUAAAGCUGGUUGCAAAAUACAGAUCACUCUGAUCAACUCCAUCUAUUUUAAAACACCAGAUACCUCCGGCGCAAAGCUCCCAUCAGAUGUAGGUUUGUGCUCUAAGGUAAAAGCACUUUGAGCAGCGUCACAAAUGACCAGUGCUCAAAGAACUAUCAAAAUAACACUUCAUUUAGCAUCCUCUACAUGAAGUUAUCUGGCAAAGCCCUCGAGGGAACUGUGCCGUACAAAGCUCAGACUCAGGGCUCCAAAUGUCUCUUCCCAAACAGCAGUGACUGCAGCUCACAGCAACAACUGAAGAGCUGCGUUUCAGAAGUGGGCUGGGGCUGAGCAUUACAAUGCACAGCUCAGCAGCCACAUCCAGGGCUGUGACAGCCUCGCUGGUCUCAUCUCCUUUCCCGUCUCUUUGUGUACGUGAAUUAACCUCCCACGGAGCUCCUUUUAUACCAACAACACACGCAACCUCUUUCCAAAGGCAAAGUGGAAAUCCCUGCAAGUAUUUCUGGUACUGCUUCCAGCCAGAAAUAACAGUAAUCUGAUCCACGAGCAAAUUCCAUUUCUGUUACUGAAUUCCUUUGUACAAAUAUAUUUGCUUUGAAAAGGUUUGCAGCAGUUAGGCACAGGCCGAAUUUACUUAUACGGUGUGAAUGAAGAAAGCUUUGCAAGGUUCUGCAUCACAGACAGAAAUGUCUGCAGCCUCUCUUACCACGUCUGUGCUCCGGUCCAUAGGUGAAUGAUGCUGCCUUUCCUUCUCUCUUCAAAGAAGCCCUUAGAGGAGGUCUGAAGGGUUCACAGAUGACAGACAUGGCACAGAAAUUAAGCGGCAGUGUUGCAGGGCCCUCCAUCUCCCAGCUGUAAGGGAUCUGGCCAUGGGCUGUAAGGACAGAUCCGCCCAUAAAUAUCAGCACCAGGCAUGCUUAAUCUUGCUUGAUUAUUUCUGUACACUGCAGCCUGAUGGUUCCUCUUCCGCACAGCUCCAGAGUAGAUCACAGCCAUUUGUCAAACCAAAUCAUUCCCCGACAGUCCGGGAGACAUCAGUUUGCCAUCUGUAAUCUAUUCCUUGGCUUCUGGCAGAUAUUUUCAGUGCUUGUUUUCAAAAGCUGUUUCAGAUUUCUAAGGGCUUCUUCGUAACCUCCACCAGCAAAGCCUCACACAGUUUAAUUGUUGGCAGCUGUGUCAGAGAAGCAUUUCUGCUGUUCCUGGUGUUGCUGCAACCAGGGAUGGAGCGGCUAUGCGAUGCUCUGGAAUGGGGAAGCACAUGAUGGCUUUGGAGAGGGUGGUGCUGGGAGCUCUGAUUUACGAUUACAUGCAACGAUGCUACAAUUUUACAGAGGUGUUUGCAGCUAUACAUAUUCAAACAGUAACAAGACACUUCAGAAAAUUUACAUGAAGCUCUGAAUUACCAAAUAAUUACCGACACACAAGUACAGAGCUAAUUAGUAUAACAACUGCACAUAGGGUGCUCAGGUAGCACAUCAUUGUUCACAGGAAAAUCCAAUGCUAGGAAUGCAUUUGUCACUGGGAGAACUUGCAAAGCUGUGCUCAGGCUCCAAAGAGCAGAGGGCCCAUCCCCGCCAUGGCAGACACCCUGCUGCAGGCUGGCAGCUACCCGUGCUUGCAGAGGGAAAGGCAGCAACUAUGUGCCCACUUCAGAAGCAGAAGAGCCCAGCACAGCCUCUAAACUAAAGCCUGACUAUGCCAUGACUUGUGCUGUCCUCAGUGCCUCCCAUAUCCCUCAAAAUCUGGAUCCAAAGCAGACACGCAUAUAGAUGCACUAAGCACAUGCAUAGCAUAUGUAAAACAAAGGCCAGCGCUGUCCUUUGUGCUCCUGAUACACUCAACACCCUCAACCCAAUCAUCUUUCUUGAGUUCAGAGCCCCAUUUUUACCUCCGAGGAGUGGGCGAUUCAGUUUCGUGGUAAGGAAGAACUCAGUCAAAAAAAUAAAAAUAAAAAAAUCACGAUUGAGUACAUUUUUAAGGCAGACCAAGGAGCACAGAUGUGGUGCCAGUGGGCGUACCGGGGAGCUGUGGGGAUGUGUCACCAAGAAAGAUGGAAAGCACUGGGGACAGAACUGUUCUCUGCUGUGCCAGGCUGAACUCCAGUCCAAAUCGUCCAUUCCCAUGACUUCAGAUGAGCUCUCACAGUUAAGCAAUGUGAACACGAACUCUUCCUGACACCAGCACGGACUGAUCACCAGUUAAGUCCUCGUGGGAAUCUAAGAAUCUAGAACCUUCUGAUGCUCCCUGUAAGCACAGAGUAAUGGUGUUUUAGAGUCAGAUAAUCACUUGCAAUGGAAACCAGUGCUUUUUAUUUGUAAAACACACGGUCACGUUACAAAUCCUGAAUUUUUCUGAUUUUUUUUUUUUUUCUAGAACUGAACUCCUUUGUUCUUUUAUGAACAAUUCAAACUGGCCAGCAGUGGUUAUAUAUAACGUGUGCCUCAGGCCAGCACAACUGGCAUGUGAACAGCAGCCCUUGGUUUGCCACUUGCAAUAGUAAAGGUCAGUGGAAAAUACUCCGCUUUGGGUCUGCAUUACCACUAUUAAAAGCAUAAUCCAAAGGGCAGAGUGGAACAUUAGUUCAAAGUACUGAAGGGAAAACGUCAUGCAGAAUUCACACCCAGACAUAUCCCCACACGUCCUUGCAGCCCUGGGCCAUGUAGAAGAGGGAUCUGGUUUUGUGUAGGGCUCAGUUCUGACCUAUGUGUAUUUGCACGAGGAGCUCUUCCCUGACUGUCUAAAAUACAGCAAUUUCAGAAAUAACACCACAGCAAACAAAGCAGAGCCACAGCACUGCGCACAUCCUGGACUUCACUUCUGCAUCUCUAGAGCAAGCGCUGUCUGCAGUCCUCCCAAAUACCUCUGCAGCCUUUGCAGCGAACCCUCUCCUACCAGAGACAGGGCCCAGAAAUCACGGCCAGUUCCUGCUCCUGAUUCCGUACAUGGAUGGAAAAACCACUUUGUUCCCGUGCCACUUUUCUCUGUCCUUUGUCUGCCUCCUGCUUAACGACAGCUGGGUGCGGACCGUCCCCACCUGCGAACCCCCGCAGUGCCCUGGGCAGGGGACGGCUUUUGGAGAGGGAGGCUCUAAACGGCAAAGUAAGAAGAGGGGCGAGAAGAGGGCACGGCAUCGAGCAGCCUUUCACCGCGGGGAGAGGAAAAGAGAAAGCCGCGGCAGCUACCUUAGCAUUCUCCCUGCGCAGCAGUAGAUGGAGCCCUCCGCCAGCAGCUCCAGCAGCGCUGCCCGCCCCCCCCACCCCU
ensembl:lncRNA